CAGUGGGGAAUAUUGCACAAUGGGGGAAACCCUGAUGCAGCCAUGCCGCGUGUGUGAAGAAGGCCUUCGGGUGUAAAGCCAUUUCAGUAGGGAGGAAGGUAGUGUAGUUAACACCUGCAUUAUUUGACGUUACCUACAGAAGAAGCACCGGCUAACUCCGUGCCAGCAGCCGCGGUAAUACGGAGGGUGCGAGCGUUAAUCGGAAUUACUGGGCGUAAAGCGCAUGCAGGCGGCCUGUUAAGUCAGAUGUGAAAGCCCGGGGCUUAACCUCGGAAUUGCAUUUGAAACUGGCAGGCUAGAGUCUUGUAGAGGGGGUAGAAUUUCAGGUGUAGCGGUGAAAUGCGUAGAGAUCUGAAGGAAUACCAGUGGCGAAGGCGGCCCCCUGGACAAAGACUGACGCUCAGAUGCGAAAGCGUGGGGAGCAAACAGGAUUAGAUACCCUGUAG
rnacentral:rRNA from 1 species